ensembl:snRNA U1 U1 spliceosomal RNA
AUACUUACCUGGCAGGGCAGAUACCAUGAUCAGGAAGGUGGUUUUCCCAGGGCGAGGCUUAUCCAUUGCACUCCGGGUGUGCUGACCCCUGCGAUUUCCCCAAAUGCGGGAAACUCGACUGCAUAAUUUGUGGUAGUGAGGGACUGCGUUCGUGCUCUCCCCUG